AGGGUUUGAUCAUGGCUCAGAACGUACGCUGGCGGCACGCCUAAUACAUGCAAGUCGAACGAAGUAGCAAUACUUAGUGGCAGACGGGUGAGUAACAUGUAGGUAUCUGCCCUUUGGCCUGGAAUAACACGAGGAAACUUGUGCUAAUACCGGAUAAGUCUUUACGGAGAAAGCUUUAUGCACCAUUGGAUGAGCCUGCACUUGAUUAGUUUGUUGGUGGGGUAAUGGCCUACCAAGACAAUGAUCAAUAGCUGAUUUGAGAGGAUGAUCAGCCACAUUGGGACUGAGACACGGCCCAAACUCCUACGGGAGGCAGCAGUAGGGAAUCUUGCACAAUGGAGGAAACUCUGAUGCAGCGAUGCCGCGUGAGUGAAGAAGGCCUUUGGGUUGUAAAGCUCUUUCGUCGGGGAAGAAAAUGACUGUACCCGAAUAAGAAGGUCCGGCUAACUUCGUGCCAGCAGCCGCGGUAAUACGAAGGGACCUAGCGUAGUUCGGAAUUACUGGGCUUAAAGAGUUCGUAGGUGGUUAAAAAAGUUGGUGGUGAAAUCCCAGAGCUUAACUCUGGAACUGCCAUCAAAACUUUUUAGCUAGAGUAUGAUAGAGGAAAGCAGAAUUUCUAGUGUAGAGGUGAAAUUCGUAGAUAUUAGAAAGAAUACCGAUUGCGAAGGCAGCUUUCUGGAUCAUUACUGACACUG
rnacentral:rRNA from 1 species